rnacentral:misc_RNA from 1 species
UUCGCAUCUAUCUUCAUACCAUUACAAGUAAUUCUGACAACAUGGCGACUGGUGUGAAAUUUUACAACGUUGAAGUAAACGAUUUUAUUGCCAGAAAACAGACAACACAUCCAGAAUUGUCUGCAGAUUGGCUUAAAUUAGAAGAGCUGUACAACAAAAAACUAUGGCACCAACUGACGUUGAAGAUCCAGGAGUUGGUGGAGAAGCCCAGCAUGCAGGAGGCCGACCACCUCAUCACUCUAUAUACCAACUUUGUCAGCUUCUUUGAAAAUAAAAUAAACCCUCUCUCCCUGGUAGAGAUCAUAGCUCACGUGAUAAAGCAGUACACCAACAAGAAGGAAGCCAUUGCGUUCCUCGAGAAGAUUGAGACCAAAGUCAAGGCUAACGAUGAGGCACUCGCACUUUGUAAGGUACUCCAAGGUCAGAUCUACCUAGAAGACCUGAAUGACCUGGAUGCCACGGAGAAGAUCAUCGAAGAGUUGGAGGGCAGCCUGGAGGACGCAGACGGAGUCACACCCGUGCACGGACGGUUUUAUAAACUCGCUUCUGAGUACUACAGAGUCCGCGGCCCCCUAGCCCGCUACUACCGCGCAGCCCUGCGCUACGUGGGGUGCGCGGGCGGGGGCUCGGCCCUCAGCCCCGCCGAGCGCCGCGACACCGCGCUGCGACUCGCGCUAGCCGCUGUGCUCGCCCCUAAUGUGUAUGAGCUGGGGGAACUGCUGGCACACCCGAUCCUGCAGUCUGUAGCGGGCACAAGCGACGCCUGGGCGCUGGAGCUGGUCCGAGCGGCUGCGUGCGGGGACGUGGCGCAGUUCGAGAGGGUUAGGGCUUCGGCCCCGCAUCCUGAUCUGGCCAAUCCGAAGCCGCAUUUGAGGCAGAAGAUUGCUAUACUGUGUUUGAUGGAGAUGGCCUUCAGCCGCACAUCAGCAGCUCGCAAGCUGACGUUCGCGGAGAUAGCGCGCGAGGCCCGCGUGCCGCACGACGACGUCGAGCUGCUCGUCAUGAAGGCGCUGGCUGAGAACCUCAUACGAGGUCAUAUUGAUCAGGUGAACAGCACGGCGCACAUCGGCUGGGUGCGGCCGCGAGCCCUGGGGCGCCCCGGAGCUGCAGCCCUAGCGCGCCGCCUCGACGCCUGGUGCUCCGCCGUCCGCGCCGCCACCGACCUGCUCGCCGGCGCCGCGCCAGACCUGCUCACCGCCUAGUGCCGGGUAUGUCACACCCCGCCCCGCGCCGCCACCGACCUGCUCGCCGGCGCCGCGCCAGACCUGCUCACCGCCUAGUGCCGGGCACCAGGUUCCAGGGGGCGAAGUAGAGUUAAAUGAAUGGAAUGUUGAAAUCUUACUUCCGAAUACCUUAUUUACUUAUAUCUAAUAUUAAAAAUUUAUUGUAAUA